rnacentral:rRNA from 1 species
UACGUAUGGUGCAAGCGUUAUCCGGAUUUACUGGGUGUAAAGGGAGCGUAGACGGUUGUGUAAGUCUGAUGUGAAAGCCCGGGGCUCAACCCCGGGACUGCAUUGGAAACUAUGUAACUAGAGUGUCGGAGAGGUAAGCGGAAUUCCUAGUGUAGCGGUGAAAUGCGUAGAUAUUAGGAGGAACACCAGUGGCGAAGGCGGCUUACUGGACGAUCACUGACGUUGAGGCUCGAAAGCGUGGGGAGCAAACAGG